GACAGUGCUGAUGAAGGUUGAGC
rnacentral:piRNA from 1 species